UACGUAGGGUGCAGGCGUUAAUCGGAAUUACUGGGCGUAAAGCGUGCGCAGGCGGUUUCUUAAGUCAGAUGUGAAAGCCCCGGGCUUAACCUGGGAACUGCGUUUGAAACUGGGAGACUUGAGUGUGGCAGAGGGGGGUGGAAUUCCGCGUGUAGCAGUGAAAUGCGUAGAGAUGCGGAGGAACACCGAUGGCGAAGGCAGCCCCCUGGGCUGACACUGACGCUCAGGCACGAAAGCGUGGGGAGCAAACAGG
rnacentral:rRNA from 1 species